GGAACUUGUAGGGAACGUCCCAGAUCAUUCCUUUAGGAACAUUUACAGGUUUAUUCCCUAGAGGAACUUGUAGGGCACACUCAGGACCUUCCAGACCAUUCCUUUAGGAACAUUUAUAGGUGUUUUAGGGCCAUUUACAGGUUUAUCCCUAGAGGAACUUGUAGGGCACACUGAGGACAUCCCAGAGCACUCCUUUAGGAACAUUUACAGGUUUUUUGGAAACAUUUACAGGUUUAUCUCUAGAGGAACUUGUAGGGCACACCCCAGAGCACUCCUUUAGGAACAUUUACAGGUUUUCCAGGACCAUUUUCAGGUUUUUUGGAAACAUUUACAGGUUUAUUCCUAGAGGAACUUGUAGGGCACAUCCCAGAUCAUUCCUUUAGGAAGAUUUAAAGGUUUUUCAGGACCAUUUACAGGUUUAUCCCUAGAAGAACUUGUAGGGCACACUGAGGACAUCCCAGAGCACUCCUUUAGGAACAUUUACAGGUUUAUUCCUGGAGGUACGUGUAAGGUACACCCCAGAUCCCUCCUUUAGGACCAUUUGCAGGUUUU